UACGUAGGGGGCAAGCGUUGUCCGGAUUUAUUGGGCGUAAAGAGCGUGUAGGCGGCCAGGUAGGUCUGCUGUGAAAACUCGAGGCUCAACUUCGAGCUGUCGGUGGAAACUUUCUGGCUAGAGUCCGGAAGAGGAGAAUGGAAUUCCUGGUGUAGCGGUGGAAUGCGCAGAUAUCAGGAGGAACACCAAUGGCGAAGGCAGAUCUCUGGGCCGUAACUGACGCUGAGGAGCGAAAGCAUGGGGAGCGAACAGG
rnacentral:rRNA from 1 species